rnacentral:rRNA from 1 species
GGAUUGUUCGAGAGGUAGUGCAUGGCCGUCGUCAGUUCGUACCGCAAGGCGUUCUGUUAAGUCAGAUAACGAACGAGACCNUCAUCCCUAUUUGCCAAGGUCUGUCCGCAGAUCACGGGACUAUAGGGAGACCGCUGGCGCGAAGUCAGAGGAAGGCGAGGGCAACGGUAGGUCAGUAUGCUCCGAAUGCUAUGGGCUACACGCGCAAUACAAAGGACGGGACAAUGGGCUGCAACUCCGAGAGGAAUGACGCUAUCCCGAAACCCGUUCGUAGUUCGGAUUGAGGGCUGUAACUCGCCCUCAUGAAGCUGGAUUAGGUAGUAAUCGCGUCUCAAAAAGGCGCGGUGAAUAUGCCCCUGCUCCUUGCACACACCGCCCGUCAAACCAUCUUAGUUGUGGGUGGGUGAGGCUGCCUCUCUUUCGAGAUGUGGUAUUCGAGCCUGCCUUCGACAAGGAGGGUUAAGUCGUAACAAGGUA